rnacentral:rRNA from 1 species
GACGAACGCUGGCGGCGUGCUUAACACAUGCAAGUCGAGCGGACAGGCCCUGCUUUUGUUGGUUGCUCGAGUGGCGAACGCGUGAGUAACACGUGAGUAACCUGCCCUUGACUUUGGGAUAUCUUCAGGGAACUGGGGCUAAUAUCGCAUAGGAGCUCCUGCUGCAUGUGGGUGGAUGGAAAGUUUCGGCUGUUGGGGAUGGACUCGCGGCUUAUCCGCUAGUUGGUUGGGUAGUGGAUUACCAAGGCUUUGACGGGUAGCCGGCCUGAGAGGGUGGACGGCGACAAGGCGACUGCGAGACGGCGCAGACGCCUAUGUGACGCAAAAGGCGGAAAUAUGGCACAAUAGGGGGAAGCCUGAGGUAGCAACGCUGGGUGCGGGAAGACCGCCUACGGGGGAUAAACCGCUGUGGCCUGUGCUGAAGCGUUAGUGACGGUAAUGAGUAAAGAAGCACCGGCUAACUACGUG